CACGGACCGCACGAACGUUAUUCGGUAUCACUGGGCUUAAAGGGUGCGUAGGCGGCUUUGCAAGUUGGGUGUGAAAGCCCUCGGCUCAACCGAGGAAUUGCGCUCAAUACUGCCGAGCUCGAGAGAGACAGAGGUAAGCGGAACUAAUGGUGGAGCGGUGAAAUGCGUUGAUAUACAUUAGGAACACCGGUGGCGAAGGCGGCUUACUGG
rnacentral:rRNA from 1 species